GACGAACGCUGGCGGCGUGCUUAACACAUGCAAGUCGAACGGAAAGGCCCUGCUUUUGUGGGGUGCUCGAGUGGCGAACGGGUGAGUAACACGUGAGUAACCUGCCCUUGACUUUGGGAUAACUUCAGGAAACUGGGGCUAAUACCGGAUAGGAGCUCCUGCUGCAUGGUGGGGGUUGGAAAGUUUCGGCGGUUGGGGAUGGACUCGCGGCUUAUCAGCUUGUUGGGGGGGUAGUGGCCUACCAAGGCUUUGACGGGUAGCCGGCCUGAGCGGGUGGUCGGCAGCAGUGGGACGGAGAUACGGACCAGUCUCCUACGGGAGGAAGCAGUGGGGAAGAUUGCACAAUGGGCGCAAGCCUGAUGCAGCGACGUCGCGGGGGGGAGGACGGCGUUCGGGGUGUAAACGCAUUACAGCCAUGACGAAGCCCCUGUGGUGACGCGAGUGGUAGAAGAAGCACCGGCUAACCACGUC
rnacentral:rRNA from 1 species